GGCUUCAUGGUCUAGUGGUAUGAUUCGUGCUUUGGGUACUCAACUUCAUUGCACGAGGUCCCGGGUUCAAUCCCCGGUGGAGCCC